AACGAACGCUGGCGGCAUGCCUAACACAUGCAAGUCGAACGAAGGCUUCGGCCUUAGUGGCGCACGGGUUAGUAACGCGUGGGAAACUGCCUAUUGGUGGGGAAUAACGACGGGAAACUGUCGCUAAUACCGCAUAAGCCCUUCGGGGGAAAGAUUUAUCGCCGAUGGAUGUGCCCGCGUCCGAUUAGCUAGUGGGUGAGGUAAUGGCUCACCAAGGCGACGAUCGGUAGCUGGUCUGAGAGGAUGAUCAGCCACACUGGGACUGAGACACGGACCAGACUCCUACGGGAGGCAGCAGUGGGGAAUAUUGGACAAUGGGCGAAAGCCUGAUCCAGCAAUGCCGCGUGAGUGAUGAAGGCCUUAGGGUUGUAAAGCUCUUUCGGGUGGGACGAUGAUGACGGUACCACCAGAAGAAGCCCCGGCUAACUUCGUGCCAGCCGCCGCCGUAA
rnacentral:rRNA from 1 species